GGCCUGGGAGGAGUUUCAUGGCCUGGUGAACAGCAGCGGCCGCUGAUCGGACGCUCCCCCUCUGUCUCUCACACUCAGGGGACAAUUCAAGCUUUCGAAAUACAAAAAUCACAUUGUGAGAGUACACAAGCUGGCAAUAAUCCUUUUCUGUAUGUGUGUGUUUGUCCGAAAUGGAUGGGAGGCCUCCAGCCAGUCCUUCCAUUGCUCACUGAAGGGACGUCCCUGAGCCGUGCGCUCUCCUUUUGCACUCAUUCCUGGAGGACGGAUUCCGCUAGACACCCUCCAGCAUCGCUGACUUUAUAAAGCGGAAAAACGGAAAACGUGACUUUGUAAUAGACAAACAUUGUUUUUUAAUGGGGUUCCAUGGGGGGGCGUUCAGCCUUUCUGUUUGCUGUGUGCUGUCCAGAUGCCUCUUGGGCGUCCUGUUGUUCUCUUCCCGUGUUGUACGAAGGGUACCGUGGCCACGUGUACAUGCCAGAGCUGUUGAUGAGAGUUACCAGUAUUAUGAAUGUCUGUGCAUCCAGGAAAAGUGUUCUGUUGGAGAGUCCCAAAAUAGCUGUAAAUGCUCUCUUCUAGCUCUGCCAUUAAAUUAUUGGGACAUUUUGUUUCUUUCUCUCCCCUCCUCCAAGCCCACCACUUUCUGAAGCUGUGUUACUGAUGUGAUGACUGUCCAGGAUUUUGUAUCAUCCCCUGCCUUAUGCCCUCCGGUCUCCUCUCCUGUGGGACUCUCUCCUUCUUAGGCACAGCUGCACUUAGAAUUGUAAUCCAGUGGCUCUCACUGGUUUCACUGAGGCAGCUUAGAGGGAAUGCCUUAGUAAACUGAACUGGAGCAGAAUCUAGUUUGAUUAGGAGCUAGAUUAUAAUCUAGGUUCCAAGUACAGAAUUUGGAGCUAAGGACUGUGACUGAAAUCAUUUUCCCAUAUGAGCAGACCCUGUGUGUCAGGCCUGUUUCCCAUAUGAGCAGAGCCUGUGUGCAAGUCUGUUUCUGGCAUGUCCCUCAUUGAGGAAGGGAAGCAAAAGCUGGUUAUUGCCAGGCCUAUUAACACUUAAUAUGCAAAUUCUAUCAUCCUGAAACUGGGGCAUCUGAGGAAAAGGUGACCUUGCUGGAUGGCUUUAUUUGCAUGGCUCUGCCUGUCUGCAGUGGUUGAGUCCUCAUCACCUGGUAUGUGUAUGAGCAAAUGUGUGCUGAUUGUGAUGCCCAGGCAGAAACCUCUUGAAGACUGCUGCAGGCAUGCUUUAAAAAUGACCAGUCACUCAUCAGAGAAGCUGGGUGAUCUGACUCCAGAAGGACUGAAGUCAGAGAAGUCACAAGAGCACCUAGGAUUCAAAUAAAUAGCGUCAGAGUCCUAUAGCAACCUCCAAGUAGCACCGUCUUACUUGGCUCUUGUGAGCAAAGACUGCAGUACCUUAAAUUAAGGCCUCUCUUUAAAACAUAUGUGGAAGACUAGGGGAUCCUUGGCCACCUGGUCUCAGAGAAAUCAUAUGAGAGUAACAGGCAUUUCCUUAUUGUAUUUGUACUACACUCUUCCUACUUUUCCAUUCCUGAACACCCUCUAAUUACCACUGUUUUGGGGAUGCUUUUUUUCUGAAAGAACGGGGAGUACAGGGGCCAAAAGGGAGGUGCUUCUAUUACAGGGCAAGUUAGAUCAGAUAAGAAGAUCUAGCAGUGAUUUAAACUCCAGGAAUAUGAAGAGUGCAUUCUGGUGUCUUGUUGUUGUUGUUCAGAGUUUUGAAUCUUACGUUUUCUAGAGCUGCUCAUGUUUUCCCUUCCUUUUUGUCGUUGUAGUAUUUGACAGUUGUCUUUUCCAUCAAAAACAUACUGGCCCUAGGCUGGUUAGAGCAAGGGGUUAUGCCUGUUAGGCAGCAUCUUACGCCCAGUGUUCUCCCAGAUAUUCUGCCUAACAGGUUUAAGUAGGAGAUUAAAUAGUCAGUUUAUCUAAACCCUCUAUUUUUCCAAACUAGCUUGAGAGGUCUUUUCAUCUAUUUUUACUCCAUGGGCCUCUGAUAUGCUGAGAUGUGGCACGGUUAUGAUUAUGGUAUCACCGUUACAGAGGCAAAGGGAUAAAGGUCUACCAGGGCCAACGUAACCAGAAUGUGAGGAGAGUGAAGAGUCGGUCUCCGCUUUGCACAGUACCAGAAUGUGAGGUUGCCACUGGAGAGUGGAGAGUCGGUCUCCACUUUGCACAGUUGGAGCUGUUCUCCUCUAACUCCUUUGCUGGGUUUUCUGUUUGAAAUUGGCCCCUACUCCUCUCCAGCCCUUUACUGGGUUUUCUGUUUGAAAUUGGCCCCUACUCCUCUCCAGUGUCUGCUUUUUGAAUCCUUCUGUUCGUGUGUGUGUGUGUGUGUGUGUGUGUUCCCUAUGAUACUGGCAGUGGCAAUAAUUUUCCACCCAGAGAGAAGCUUGUGGUCCACAAUGCUCGAAGAAUGAAUUUCCAAGUAUUUGCCAGUGGAAACGGAGCAGAGGCUAUGACAAGAGUGAUUUAGUGUUGCACUUUCAGAGCAAUUAUCUACUGCAGUAAUAAAUUGAAAAUAUCAGCAAGAA
rnacentral:lncRNA from 1 species